rnacentral:rRNA from 1 species
AGAGUUUGAUCAUGGCUCAGGACGAACGCUGACGGUGUGCUUUAGGCAUGCAAGUCGAACGAGAAAGCCCUUCGGGGUGAGUAAAGUGGCGAACGGGUGAGUAACACGUGGGCAACCUGCCCCUCGCAGGGGGACAACCGGAGGAAACUCCGGCUAAUACCCCGUACGCUUGUUGGAUCGCAUGGUCCGGCAAGGAAAGGUAGCUUCGGCCAUCCGGCGAGGGAUGGGCCCGCGUUGCAUUAGCUAGUUGGUGGGGUAACGGCCUACCAAGGCGACGAUGCGUAGCUGGUCUGAGAGGAUGAUCAGCCACACUGGGACUGAGACACGGCCCAGACUCCUACGGGAGGCAGCAGCCAGGAAUCUUGGGCAAUGGGCGAAAGCCUGACCCAGCAACACCGUGUGGGUGAUGAAGGCCUUCGGGUCGUAAAGCCCUGUUGAUAGGGACGAAGGGCGAAGGGUUAAUAGCCCGGAGCUUGACGGUACCUUUCGAGGAAGCCCCGGCUAACUACGUGCCAGCAGCCGCGGUAAUACGUAGGGGGCGAGCGUUGUCCGGAAUUAUUGGGCGUAAAGAGCGUGUAGGCGGUUCGGUAAGUCUGCUGUGAAAUCCUGGGGCUCAACCCUGGGCGUGCAGCGGAUACUGCCGGGCUAGAGGGUGGUAGAGGCGAGUGGAAUUCCGAGUGUAGCGGUGAAAUGCGCAGAUAUUCGGAGGAACACCAGUAGCGAAGGCGGCUCGCUGGGCCACACCUGACGCUGAGACGCGAAAGCGUGGGGAGCGAACAGGAUUAGAUACCCCUGUAGUCC